UCCCUAGAGGACUAGUGGUUAGGCCACAGUGCUCUCGUCGCUGGGGCCUGUGUUUGAUUCCCGCCCAGGGAA
rnacentral:tRNA from 1 species